GCGGAAGUCCCAUCAUAUUAUAGGCCAGGGUGUUGUCUAUCCAGCCGUGAAUACUGUAUGUGAGCGACUGGAAGUAAUCUUGUGCGAAGGAAAAUUUGCCAGGAACACAACUGUAUGGACUGAGAACUCUUGGUGUGAAGUCUCACUUUAGCUGCCAGGUAAGAAAAUUCCUUGGAUUUAAAUCUCUACAUUUCUAGGACUCCAGUAUGGCUGUGUUUGGCAUGGCUUGACAUAAAACUGGGCAUAACUGUCCAAAACUUUAUGAAAUUAAAACACUGCACUUAUAGAUACACUGGAGCAUUUCCCAAACUCAUUUCCUAAAGUCAUGAAUGCCGAGGUUUUUUAUUUUAAGAAAAAUGUGACUGUGAGGAAUCACUCCCUCUUAACACUCCAAACGAGACAGAGUAGGACCUCAUGCAGAGAAGCAGCAGAAGUAUUUCUUUAAUGACAGGAGAGGUAAAUGCUGCAGAGAUGGCACCAUUACAUGAGGAAUGCUCACAGCCCUCCAACCACAGCCUUUUAAUACAUAUAUUUCUCUCAACAUCCUAGAAAUGAGUCAAAGGAGUAAUAUAUUGGACAUAUGAGCUUUCCUAAGCCUAGUAUACAUGUCUUCUGGGUCUCCUGAAAAAGGAGAAAUCUAGAUCCCGUGUUAUUCAAGGGUUAAACUUGAAGUCCUCAUCACAAAAUGUUUUGCUUUUCAGUGUUUAUAUAAUCCUGAGAGUAUGAAGAAAGCUGUCUUUCAAUUAUCACAACUCAAUACAAUUCUUAUUCAUCUUUUGAUGGCAAAGUUCCAUGUACUGGAAGCUGACUUCACCCUAAACCUUGGGGUACGAAUAUCCAAAACAGGUAGGAAUUGAGGCUGAUGAGGCAUAAACAGUCCAAAAAUACACUUUAUCGGGAAGGAAGAAUCAAGGUUGGCACAAAUGCUAGAUUACAUCUUUAAAUUGCAGCUUCCGUCCCUCCAUUUUUGACUUGUAAACUAUUUUUCUGGCUCCUGGUUUGACUUAAAAAAAUUCUGAAUUGCAACAUCCUGUUUCCAGAGGGUGAAGCAGGGAAGUGCAGCUCUGCUUGGCAAAUAUGACACAUCUUUCUGGCUCUGUGGAGCACAACAGCAAAAACUAUUCCUAUGAAUGGCUGUUAUUACAAUUUAAAAUCUGGGCCGGCUAGAUAGGAGUGGAAAGUUAAUCAGAAUAAUGUGCAUUUAAUAGUGACAUACAAAUAGAAAAAUAGUAGCGUAUGAAAUUGUCAGUGGAAUACGGCCUUCCAAGAAACUCCAUUUCCACUUAAAAAGUACAUUAAAAAAA